ACGGGAGGCAGCAGUGGGGAAUAUUGGGCAAUGGGCGAAAGCCUGACCCGGCAACGCCGCGUGAAGGAAGAAGGUCUUCUGAUUGUAAACUUCUUUUAUAAGGGACGAAGAAAGUGACGGUACCUUAUGAAUAAGCCACGGCUAACUACGUGCCAGCAGCCGCGGUAAUACGUAGGUGGCAAGCGUUAUCCGGAUUUACUGGGUGUAAAGGGCGCGUAGGCGGGGAUGCAAGUCAGAUGUGAAAUCUAUGGGCUUAACUCAUAAACUGCAUUUGAAACUGUAUCUCUUGGGUGCUGGAGAGGUAGAUGGAAUUCCUAGUGUAGCGGUGAAAUGCGUAGAUAUUAGGAAGAACACCAGUGGCGAAGGCGAUCUACUGGACAGUAACUGACGCUGAGGCGCGAAAGCGCGGGGAGCAAACAGGAUUAGAUACCCUGGUA
rnacentral:rRNA from 1 species